rnacentral:rRNA from 1 species
UACGUAGGGCGCAAGCGUUAUCCGGAAUUAUUGGGCGUAAAGAGCUCGUAGGCGGUUUGUCGCGUCUGCCGUGAAAGUCCGGGGCUCAACUCCGGAUCUGCGGUGGGUACGGGCAGACUAGAGUGAUGUAGGGGAGACUGGAAUUCCUGGUGUAGCGGUGAAAUGCGCAGAUAUCAGGAAGAACACCCGUGGCUAAGGCGGCUCUCUAGUACGGUACUGACGCUGAGACGCGAAAAGCGUGGGGAGCGAACAGG